GAUGAACGCUGGCGGCGUGCCUAAUACAUGCAAGUCGAGCGAACGGACGAGAAGCUUGCUUCUCUGAUGUUAGCGGCGGACGGGUGAGUAACACGUGGGUAACCUACCUAUAAGACUGGGAUAACUUCGGGAAACCGGAGCUAAUACCGGAUAAUAUUUUGAACCGCAUGGUUCAAAAGUGAAAGACGGUCUUGCUGUCACUUAUAGAUGGAUCCGCGCUGCAUUAGCUAGUUGGUAAGGUAACGGCUUACCAAGGCAACGAUACAUAGCCGACCUGAGAGGGUGAUCGGCCACACUGGAACUGAGACACGGUCCAGACUCCUACGGGAGGCAGCAGUAGGGAAUCUUCCGCAAUGGGCGAAAGCCUGACGGAGCAACGCCGCGUGAGUGAUGAAGGUCUUCGGAUCGUAAAACUCUGUUAUUAGGGAAGAACAUAUGUGUAAGUAACUGUGCACAUCUUGACGGUACCUAAUCAGAAAGCCACGGCUAACUACGUG
rnacentral:rRNA from 1 species